CUCGUCGAGUUCAGGCGACACUGUCGGAGUGCACUGAAAGUGCGAGUUUUUUGCAUUCCCAACUAAACACGUCUGUUAUUCUCAGUGCCAUCUCAGUGCAGUUUUGUGGCGUAUUUGGGCGUAUUGUGCUACUGUAUAACCAUGGAAAGUUUGACCGAUUUGACUAUUUCUUUUAAAGUCAACAAUGAUAUAAUAAAUAUUACUCUUCAGCCGCUUGAAAUAGAUUUGUUUAAUAAAUUAAAGAGAAAACAAGCAUAGUAAAGAACGUCUUAAGCCAUUCUACAAUUGCAUAAACGUGAUUGUAGAUCUCCUUUUUUUGAAAUUAUAAAUAUUUAUUUACUAUUAGCAUACAUUACAAGAAACGUUUCGACUCUCUGUUUGGGUCUUCUUUAGUAUUCUUUCGAUUUGUAAACAAUAUUAUAAUGUUCUCAAUCCAAGGUCUGAUUAAAAUAAUAGGCAAGC